UGAGACCUUCCAGCAAACAACCUCUCUCCCAGAGCAUAGAUCCCAGGGUAGGAAGAGCCACCGUGUUUCUUUUAAAGGAAUAUUUAGGUUUCUUAUUGGUUCUUGUCUUGUCUUGUGUCUCUGGUAUGGACGCCAGCAGGCUGCUGAACGUUACUGAGAAGGGCUCUGUUCUUACUGGUUGCUAUUGUGUACUGAGUGUACUAAGACAUACCGUCCCUACAUGGGCAGUCUGCCUCUGGAUUUUAUUCAUCAGAGACUAGCAGCCGAGUCCCCAGGACGAGGUCGCGCUGAGGCAGAAGGGCAGUAGGCCGUUUCUCUGGCCGGGAGCUCAACUGACCUGUGCCUAUCCUUGUUUGACUUUCCUAUUGUACCAGCAAGAAAGCAAACAAUCUCAGCUGUCAGGAGGCAAAAAGAAGAGAGUUCUGGCUAGCUCUCAAAGAUCUUGCCGUUCUGUCCUCUUAUGUCACAGCUGGCUUGCAGCAGGUCCCCAAAAGCACAUAAGCAGAGGUGGCAGGGGCGUGUGUGGGACAUCUCACUGCCUCCCACAGUUCGUUCUCCAGGCACUCACCCUCUUCCUAAUCUACUUCAGCCACUGACUGGAAGCCUGGAGCCACCCAGGAGUGCUGGAGGAGAAUCUGUGACUUGUUGAGAAAGCCAGGGCAUACAGGGGUCCAUGGAAGGUGAUGUGUGAGAUUGGUGGGCAGAGGGAAGGGGGCCACAGAGGUGUGUGGACAGGGUGAGGUGCUAUGAUUUAUUUAUUUAUAUUUGAUAGUAGAUUUACUUGUGAAUGAUUGGCAGAAAGGAACUGAGCAUGGCUCUACUCUAUUUUUUUGAGAUGCAUUAGCAUAAUAGCAGGCUUAAAUAUUUAGACAGUUUAAAAGUGAUGAUUUAAAAGUUUGCCAUACUACUGUCUGAAUGUAGUUAGCAAAACUGUAAGGUACACUUAAAACUUAAAGGGAUAAAGUUCCUGUUGCAUGCUUUACAGCGCAAUUUAGACUUAAAAGGAAUUUGUGUAGCAAAUUUUAAUAGCUUUAAGUGGGUUUUUUCCCCCAACAGUUGGAUAGGCAUCUUCGUAAGAAAGCUGGAUUGGCCGUUGUUCCCACGAAUAAUGCCUUGAGAAAUUCUGAAUACCAAAGGCAGUUUGUUUGGAAGACUUCUAAAGAAAGCGCUCCAGUGUUUGCAUCCAAUCAGGUAGCUCAAGAGAUGCGUUUCUGAGUGUUCUCACCUGACUCGUGUGUGAGUACAGGCUACAUGGAAAGAGUCGGUUCUGACCUGGGCCUGGCUCUGAGUUCUGGAAGACAGUGAGAGGUUUGCUAGGCUCUUGCUCUCCCUUCUGAUCUACAGUGGCGAUACUACACAGUCCUGUGCUAUUGGUGAUCGGCAUUGCCAGGCCCUCUAAGUGGGAGGCGGGGCAGUGACAGCGAGGGGGAGUGGCAAGUUCACAGGCCAGAGGAUGGUUUUAUGUCACUAUCUUCUUAAUCAUCCAAUUGGUUAUGUUCUAAAUUGUUAUUAACGUUUUUGCAUGAUGUCUAUUUUUUAAGGAAGACUAACUGCUUUGGACAUUUAUAUAUUGAAAGCAGCACUGCAUAUAAUUGUCCCCUUGAGUCAGUUAAAUGAUGGCAGGAAUUGAGUUUUUAUUUGCAAAAUUUUAAAAGGCAUAAUGGACUAAUUUGUGAGACAAAUUUCAUUAUAUUUUGUGCAAUUUUAGUAUUUUAUUAUCUUGCUAAUAAAUAUUCUGUUAAUUGC
rnacentral:lncRNA from 1 species